AUUUGGUCUAACCUGCCCAAUGAGGAUUUAAAUGGCUGCGGUAAGCUGACCGUACAAAGGUAGCAUAAUCAUUAGUUUUUUAAUUGAAAGCUGGAAUGAAGGGUUUAAUGAGAAGAGGACUGUCUCUGUAAAAAUUUAAUUGAAUUUUACUUUUAAGUGAAAAGGCUUAAAUGUUAAUGGAAGACGAGAAGACCCUAUAGAGUUUUAUAGUUUUUGUUUUUUAGAAAUUUUUAAGUAUAAAAAGUUUUUACUAGGCAGUAUUAUUUUGUUGGGGUGAUAGAAAAAUUAAACAAACUUUUUUUAAAAGACAAUCACUAAUGUGUGUAAGUGUGAUCCUUUGUUUAGAUGAAAAGAAUAAAUUACCUUAGGGAUAACAGCGUAAUCUUUUUUAGAGUUCUUAUCGAAAAGAAGGAUUGCGACCUCGAUGUUGGAUUAAAAUUAAUUUUUGGUGUAGAAGCUGGAAAAUUAGGUCUGUUCGACCUUUGAAAUUUUACAUGAUCUGAGUUUAAACCGGUGUGAG
rnacentral:rRNA from 1 species